CGUUCAUUUUCAAAUUCGCCGUGCAUAUAUUUUUGUGCAUGGCGCUUGAGAGGGCAUCACGUGACUAAAAACGACCAACCAACGACCUCGCUUCGGCCAUCUUGGCAUCUUCAUCUUGGCGACCUUGCCUUGCCGUGGAUUGUUUUUAGUUGUUUGUAUUAUUUGUGCUUUUUAAGAAUAUUUUUUUAAUUCGGAUACUUUUAUAAUAGCUUUAAUAGUAUUAUUAACAUAGUGCAUAAAAUGGUGUCCUGUUUUUAACGCAGUUGGAGUAGCAGAAACAAAUGUAGAUAAAAAAAUCUGCAGGAAUAACGUUUCAAUUAUGACAGAAGCUCAAAACAAAUGACUGUGAAUGAAAAGCCCUAUUAAAAGCUUUCCAGAAGAUCCUGCGAAGAAGACAUGAAGUAUAGAUCAGAUUUGUUAAUAGAGGAGUAUGUUCAAAACACUUUUUAGAAAAAGAUAUUGACAGAACUUCACUUUCAUCUGUUCGUUUGAGAGACUGUGCUGUUCCAAUAGCUUAUGUCACACAGAAUCAGCUGAGAGAAGUGGUCUACAAAAAACCAGAAAGGAAACGGAAUAUGUGGCUACGAAAAGCAAAAGAAAGGUUUACAAAGCAAAUGUGACACAUUUUUUUAUAAUAUUUAGGAAUGUCAGCAAAUUACAUUAAAAAAUGUAUGUAAAGAUUUUUUGCAAUAAAAAUG